UAGUGCUGCAAUGUAAACAUUGCAAUUUCUCUGGAACUGCAAUGUUUUACAUUGCAGCUCUA
rnacentral:miRNA from 1 species